ensembl:lncRNA
AUACAACAUCCAUCAUCCAUGAUAUCUCUUAUAAGUCCAGGGAGCUGCUAGGCAGUGAGCAACCUAGCCUGAGAUCCCAAUAAGAGACUGGGGAAUUGAAUACAGCAUCCAGCAAGACAUGGUGGUGAUCCCUGGCUCUAAGUCUUCAUGAUUAAGUGACUCUUUUGCACAACACAAAGGUUUUUGUAAGAACAUGUCUGAAGACUCAAAGAAAUUCGAUUACAAAGUUGGAAUUGUGGUUCAAGAUAUUCAUUCCACUCUUUGACCUUCGUCUUACAGAUCAGCAAACCUACCGAGCUACAUUAUACUUUCUGACAAUAUACUGCAAGGCAAGUUUCAGUAAAACAACAUGAGGCUCUUGUAUCUCCAAAAUACAAACACAUGGAUGAUUCAAUGAAUAAACAAAAUAGAUUUUUUUCA